GACGAACGCUGGCGGCGUGCUUAACACAUGCAAGUCGAACGAAGAGCGAUGGAAUCUUGCUUCUAUCAAUCUUAGUGGCGAACGGGUGAGUAACGCGUAAUCAACCUUCCCUUCAGAGGGGGACAACAGUUGGAAACGACUGCUAAUACCGCAUACGAUCUAAUCUCGGCAUCGAGGAUAGAUGAAAGGUGGCCUCUACAUGUAAGCUAUCACUGAAGGAGGGGAUUGCGUCUGAUUAGCUAGUUGGAGGGGUAACGGCGCACCAAGGCGAUGAUCAGUAGCCGGUCUGCGAGGAUGAACGGCCACCUUGGGACUGAGACACGGCCCAGACUCCUUCGGGAGGCAGCAGUGGGGAAUCUUCCGCAAUGGACGAAAGUCUGACGGAGAAACGCCGCGGGAGUGAUGACGGCCUUCGGGUUGUAAAGCUCUGUUAAUCGGGACGAAAGGCCUUCUUGCGAAUAGGGAGAAGGAUUGACGGUACCGGAAUAGAAAGCCACGGCUAACUACGUG
rnacentral:rRNA from 1 species